AUACUUACCUGGCAGGGGGAUACCGAUCAAGAAGGUGGUUUCACCGGGGCGAGGCUUAACCUUGCACUCCGGUUAUGCUGACCCCUGCGGAAUUCCCCAAGGUGGGAAUCUCGACUGCAUAAUUGGGUAGUGGGGGGACUGCGUUCGGCCUUCCCCGG